GUUUGAUCAUGGCUCAGGAUGAACGCUGGCGGCGUGCCUAACACAUGCAAGUCGAGCGGUAUAUGCUGGAACGAAACUUCGGUCUAGAGAAGGCAUAGAGAGCGGCGGACGGGUGAGUAACGCGUAGGCAACCUGCCCCAUACAGAGGGAUAGCCUCGGGAAACCGGGAUUAAAACCUCAUAACGCGAGGAGUUCACAUGUUCUCCUCGCCAAAGAUUCAUCGGUAUGGGAUGGGCCUGCGUCUGAUUAGCUAGUUGGUGAGGUAACGGCUCACCAAGGCGACGAUCAGUAGCCGACCUGAGAGGGUAAUCGGCCACAUUGGAACUGAGACACGGUCCAAACUCCUACGGGAGGCAGCAGUGGGGAAUAUUGCACAAUGGGCGAAAGCCUGAUGCAGCAACGCCGCGUGAGCGAUGAAGGCCUUUGGGUCGUAAAGCUCUGUCCUUGGGGAAGAAAAAAUAGACGGUACCCUUGGAGGAAGCCCCGGCUAACUACGUG
rnacentral:rRNA from 1 species